AAUAAGAUGCCUGAUAAAAAGGUUUAUUUUGAUAGAAUAAGUAAUGUAUAAUUAUACUCUUAUUG
rnacentral:tRNA from 4 species